rnacentral:rRNA from 1 species
GAUGAACGCUGGCGGCGUGCCUAAUACAUGCAAGUCGAGCGAACAGAUGAGAAGCUUGCUUCUCUGAUGUUAGCGGCGGACGGGUGAGUAACACGUGGGUAACCUACCUAUAAGACUGGGAUAACUCCGGGAAACCGGGGCUAAUACCGGAUAAUAUUUUGAACCGCAUGGUUCAAUAGUGAAAGACGGUUUCGGCUGUCACUUAUAGAUGGACCCGCGCCGUAUUAGCUAGUUGGUAAGGUAACGGCUUACCAAGGCGACGAUACGUAGCCGACCUGAGAGGGUGAACGGCCACACUGGAACUGAGACACGGUCCAGACUCCUACGGGAGGCAGCAGUAGGGAAUCUUCCGCAAUGGGCGAAAGCCUGACCGAGCAACGCCGCGUGAAUGAUGAAGGCCUUCGGGUUGUAAAAUUCUGUUAUAAGGGAAGAACGACUUUAGUAGGAAAUGGCUAGAGUGUGACGGUACCUUAUGAGAAAGCCACGGCUAACUACGUGCCAGCCGCCGCCGUAA